GUUGGGUAGGGGAGCGUUCUGUAAGCCUGCGAAGGUGUACUGUGAGGUAUGCUGGAGGUAUCAGAAGUGCGAAUGCUGACAUAAGUAACGAUAAUGCGGGUGAAAAACCCGCACGCCGGAAGACCAAGGGUUCCUGUCCAACGUUAAUCGGGGCAGGGUGAGUCGACCCCUAAGGCGAGGCUGAAAAGCGUAGUCGAUGGGAAACGGGUUAAUAUUCCCGUACUGGUGGUAACUGCGAUGGGGGAACGGAGAAGGCUAGGUUGUCCGGGCGACGGUCGUCCCGGUUCAAGCAGGUAGGCAGAGUGAUUAGGCAAAUCCGGUCACUUAAUGCUGAGAUGUGAUGACGAACCACCAAGGUGGUGAAGCAAUUGAUGCCCCGCUUCCAGGAAAAGCCUCUAAGCUUCAGGUUACCAACAAUCGUACCCCAAACCGACACAGGUGGUCAGGUAGAGAAUACUCAGGCGCUUGAGAGAACUCGGGUGAAGGAACUAGGCAAAAUGGUGCCGUAACUUCGGGAGAAGGCACGCUGGCGGUAGGUAAAGUCCCUCGCGGACGGCGCCCAAGCCAGUCGAAGAUACCAGCUGGCUGCAACUGUUUAUUAAAAACACAGCACUGUGCAAACACGAAAGUGGACGUAUACGGUGUGACGCCUGCCCGGUGCUGGAAGGUUAAUUGAUGGGGUCAGCCGUAAGGCGAAGCUCCUGAUCGAAGCCCCAGUAAACGGCGGCCGUAACUAUAACGGUCCUAAGGUAGCGAAAUUCCUUGUCGGGUAAGUUCCGACCUGCACGAAUGGCGUAAUGAUGGCCAGGCUGUCUCCACCCGAGACUCAGUGAAAUUGAACUCGCUGUGAAGAUGCAGUGUACCCGCGGCAAGACGGAAAGACCCCGUGAACCUUUACUAUAGCUUGACACUGAACAUUGAGCCUUGAUGUGUAGGAUAGGUGGGAGGCUUUGAAGUGUGGACGCCAGUCUGCAUGGAGCCAACCUUGAAAUACCACCCUUUAACGUUUGAUGUUCUAACCUAGGCCCAUAAACUGGGUCGGGGACCGUGUCUGGUGGGUAGUUUGACUGGGGCGGUCUCCUCCUAAAGAGUAACGGAGGAGCACGAAGGUUGGCUAAGCAUGGUCGGACAUCAUGCGGUUAGUGCAAAGGCAUAAGCCAGCUUGACUGCGAGAGUGACGGCUCGAGCAGGUACGAAAGUAGGUCUUAGUGAUCCGGUGGUUCUGAAUGGAAGGGCCAUCGCUCAACGGAUAAAAGGUACUCCGGGGAUAACAGGCUGAUACCGCCCAAGAGUUCAUAUCGACGGCGGUGUUUGGCACCUCGAUGUCGGCUCAUCACAUCCUGGGGCUGAAGUAGGUCCCAAGGGUAUGGCUGUUCGCCAUUUAAAGUGGUACGCGAGCUGGGUUUAGAACGUCGUGAGACAGUUCGGUCCCUAUCUGCCGUGGGCGUUGGAAGAUUGAGAGGGGUUGCUCCUAGUACGAGAGGACCGGAGUGAACGCACCACUGGUGUUCGGGUUGUCAUGCCAAUGGCAUUGCCCGGUAGCUAAGUGCGGAAGAGAUAACCGCUGAAAGCAUCUAAGCGGGAAACUUGCCUCGAGAUGAGUCUUCCCUGUCGCUUUAAGCGACCUAAAGGAACGUUUAAGACUAAGACGUUGAUAGGCUGGGUGUGUAAGCGUAGCGAUACGUUGAGCUAACCAGUACUAAUGAACCGUGAGGCUUAACCUG
rnacentral:rRNA from 1 species